GACGAACGCUGGCGGCGUGCUUAACACAUGCAAGUCGAACGGAGUGGCGAACGGGUGAGUAACACGUGGGUGAUCUGCCUUGCACUUCGGGAUAAGCUUGGGAAACUGGGUCUAAUACCGGAUACUGCAAGAUGAGCUCGCGGGCGAUCAGCUUGUUGGUGGGGUAAUGGCCUACCAAGGGGGCGACGGGUAGCCGGCCUGAGAGGGUGUACGGCGACAUGGGGACUGAGAUACGGACCAGAGGGCAACGGGGGGCAGCGGUGGGGAGUAUUACACAAUGGGCGGAAGCGUGAGGCAGAGACGCCGGGGGUGGGAUGAAGGCCUUCGGGUUGUAAACUCGUUUAGACAGGGACGCGGUACCUGUAUAAGAAGCACCGGCUAACUACGUGCCAGCAGCCGCGGUAAUAC
rnacentral:rRNA from 1 species